UUAUUUCAUUUUCUUUUUAUUUUCAUUUUCCAAUUUAUUUAUUUUACCAUUUUCAAACAUUUUUGCAUCUAACCUUUGAGAUCUAUUCAUGCAUAAUAUUUGGGACUUUUUGUAAUUUUUGCAACCAUUUUUUAAUCAUGUUGAUCAUAGUUUGAUAUUUUCUCUUUAAUUUCCAUUUUUAAUCAUUUUUAUUCACAUUUUUGUUUUACUUUUGAUACACUUGAUGCUUUUGACUUGAGUUGUUGACUUGGUUGAUC
rnacentral:lncRNA from 1 species